AACGAAACGAACCGUUUUGAUUCGAGUUUAGAUUUCCUCUUUAAUUUAUCCAUUAACGCCUCCGCUGCGGCUCAGCUUCGCUGACUAAGCUAUCGCAGCCACCGGCUACGCUCCUCGAUCAGCUCCAAUCUGUUUUUCGUCAACUGGAUCCUCAGCUUCUAGAGAGAGCUCUGGAAGAAUGUGACAAUGAUUUGCAUUCUGCAAUCAAGAAGCUGAAUGACUCCUUCCUAGGAAUAGCUGAGAAAAGGUUGGAAUCUGUGGAAGAAUUAUCUGCCAGUGAUAAUCAAGGAAAACAUGAUGCUGAAGGAACAAACUGAAAUAGUGAUCAGAGAGAAUUCUGUACUCAAACGUGCUGUGGCUAUUCAGUAUGAACGUCAGAAAGAGUGACAGUGAAAACCAGGAGCUGCAACAUUUGAAACAGUUGGUGUGUAAGUAUCAGGAACAGUCGAGAACCCAGGUAAAGAGCUAUGCGUUGACAAUGCUCUUGAGACAGGCUCAGCAGAAUAGCUUCAUCCCGGGGCGAUUCCAUCCUGAUGUCUUCUAAUAAAGAGUAAGACUGGAGAAAUGGAAGUUAAUGUUCCAUUUAAUGUUAACCAUGGUGUUCCCUUUGAGUUUCUGUCUCUUCCUCUUUCCUUUUAUGAAGAAGCCCUUGAAACAGCUUUUUCUAUGGAGAAAGAGCUGAAAAGCCUCUCAAGGUAAAGAGAUGUUUGCAGGUUAAAAUGGGUUGCAGGGAGACCCACUAUUGAAGGCCAUUAAAGAACCCACUGGAGUUGUUCCUCACUUCCCAAAAUCAGGAGAAGUCAUCUCUGAAGCAUGCAAACUCUAAUAUGGAACAAAUUGUUAACAUGCUAUGGUCAUUGAUGAUUUGCUGGCUACAGGUGGUACACUCUCUGCAGCUAUAAGGCUGUUAAGUGUGGUCUAAAGCUUCAUAUGAUAAUUCUUUUUUUGUUUCAUUAUAAUACUUGCUUUGGCCUCAUAACUGAAACUUUUACAAAUUUUAAUUGCUGUUAAAUAGAGCGUGUUGGAGCUGAAGUAGUUGGAUGUGAAUGCAUUAUUGGGUUGCCUGAGAUUCAGUUUUGAUGGUUUCCGUUCUUGGGUAUUAUUUACCACAUGGUAGUAGACAUACUUUGUUGAGACACUAUAAUGUUGAUAUGAAGGAUUGUGCAAAGACGGAGAGAGGAUUCGACUAAGGAUUAAGAGAGCUAAGUCAUUUCUAAGAAUUCAAGACCAAACCAACUCAAUUAGAGUGCAACUCUAGAUCCAUCCUUAUUAAUUAGGUCUUUACAAAGAGAAUAAUGUUACAAAGAUUCAUACUUAAAAAUUGUUACAUAUUUUAAAAUAUUCAAUGCGAAUAAUAUUAGACGGAAGCAUCUAAUAAAUCAGUAGAUAAUAAACACAAUUGUCUAGAUGUUGAACUAAUUUUGCAGCACAUCAUCUUAUAGUUGAGUGGUCUUUCUCGUACAACAAUGCAAUGUUUUUGCAAGACAAAUUUGGGUACACAAACAACCAUGCACUCCUCUGUGCCCUUCAAGCAUGGUGCUUUCAAUCAAUGUUUUAAAACUCGAGUCGGUACUCAAAUUUUGUUUCUUGAUUAUUGUAAUCAUCCAUCGUUUGUUGGGUUAGUAAGUGUUUUUUAAUUAUUACAAUUAGUUUAAUUUUAUUU